rnacentral:rRNA from 1 species
CCUACGGGAGGCAGCAGUGAGGAAUAUUGGUCAAUGGCCGGAAGGCUGAACCAGCCAUGCCGCGUGAAGGUCAGUGCCCUAUGGGCGUUAAACUUCUUUUGUGCGGGAGCAAUAAUGGUCACGUGUGGCCAGACGAGAGUACCGUACGAAUAAGCAUCGGCUAACUCCGUGCCAGCAGCCGCGGUAAUACGGGGGAUGCAAGCGUUAUCCGGGUUUAUUGGGUUUAAAGGGUGCGUAGGCUGUGAGGUAAGUCAGCGGUGAAAUGCCCCCGCUCAACGGGGUGAAGUGGCAUUGAUACUGCCUGGCUGGAAUGCGGAAGCCGUGGGAGGAAUGUGUGGUGUAGCGGUGAAAUGCAUAGAUAUCACACAGAACACCGAUUGCGAAGGCAUCUCACGAAUCCGCGAUUGACGCUGAUGCACGAAAGCGUGGGUAUCAAACAGGAUUAGAUACCCUUGUAGUC